UGGGGAAUAUUGCACAAUGGGGGAAACCCUGAUGCAGCGACGCCGCGUGAAGGAAGAAGUAUCUCGGUAUGUAAACUUCUAUCAGCAGGGAAGAUAGUGACGGUACCUGACUAAGAAGCCCCGGCUAACUACGUGCCAGCAGCCGCGGUAAUACGUAGGGGGCAAGCGUUAUCCGGAUUUACUGGGUGUAAAGGGAGCGUAGACGGUGUGGCAAGUCUGAUGUGAAAGGCAUGGGCUCAACCUGUGGACUGCAUUGGAAACUGUCAUACUUGAGUGCAGGAGGGGUAAGCGGAAUUCCUAGUGUAGCGGAGAAAUGCGUAGAUAUUAGGAGGAACACCAGUGGCGAAGGCGGCUUACUGGACGGUAACUGACGUUGAGGCUCGAAAGCGUGGGGAGCAAACAGG
rnacentral:rRNA from 1 species